CAAUAUUUGCUUGCUUCCCUCUCCCCAAGCAGCUGGAUGUUGAGAAAGCUCUCUGUGGCUGUGAGGUUUAUGGAUCAAAACCCCCAGAAAGGUAAUUUCUUCCUCUUUGAAUUCUUAGAUAUAAAUGUUUAUACCGCAAGUUCAUACUGAAGAUUAAAGAUGUACAUAGAGGAUGAAAUAUAGACUUCCUUGCAUGUGUCUCCCCUUCCACUUUUUAUCCUCCAAACAGCCCUGUGAGGUAGGUCGGGCUGCCGGACAGUGCUUGGCCCAAGGUCACCCAUUGAACCUUGUGGCUGUGUGGGGAUUUGAACUCUGACCUCCCAGGUUCUAGCCCAACACUAACCACUGCACCACACUGGAUAAUGAAUGAAGGAUGACGCAGAACCAAAUACAGAUCUGGCUGAGGUAAAACCAUGAGCAAUCCUUAUAAAGCAGGAAUCCCCAAACUCGGCCCUCCAGAUGUUUUGGGACGACAGCUCCCAUCAUCCCUAGCUAACAGGACCAGUGGUCAGGGAUGAUGGGAGUUGUAGUCCCAAAACACCUGGAGGGCCGAGUUUGAGGAUGCCUGUUUUAAAGUCCUGCGUCCGUCUACUCGGAAGUAAGUUUGGCUAGAAAUCAAUGGGGCUUACUUCCAAGUAAGUGAGCAUAGGGUGGCAGUUUAAGCUUCUUCCAAAAAUAAGGUAUUUAUUAUUUAUUUAUUUUAUAUAAUGAUACGGUAUUAUAAGUAAUAGUAAUCUUAAUCAUUAAAUUGAAAACAAACAAGCAAACACCAAGCAACACAUAAUUCAUUCUUUGGGAAUCCCCAAAGCAAAUAUAUGUACCAGCUCAUUUAAUGUCUCCAAAAUAACCCCCUACCACUUUUAAUUUGCUUUAAAAUUGUUUUAUAUUGUAAACUGCCCUAUGAUCCUUAGAUGAAGAUGGUAUCCCCUCACCCUCUGCUUUGUAUGGCUAUUUGGAAAUCUACCUGCUUAUUUUUUCAGAACUGCUUUGGAGCAUUGGCAAAUCAUUUGGCACCAGCCCCAUCUAGAGACUGUUUCAAGAAUCACACCUCUGAACUUGAACUGUUCUAAAAGUAUUCAAAGCAUACUUCCUUCUCUCUCCAGCAACUCAUUUCUACCAGG